rfam:TPA: Bos taurus chromosome 10, whole genome shotgun sequence.
UCCCUGGUGGUCCAGUGACUAAGACUCCGUGCUCUCAAUGCAGGGGGCCCAGGUUCAAUCCCUGGUCAGGGAA